rnacentral:rRNA from 1 species
GACAGAGGGUGCAAACGUUGCUCGGAAUCACUGGGCGUAAAGGGCGCGUAGGCGGGGAUGUAAGUCGGGCGUGAAAUCCCCAGGCUCAACCUGGGAACUGCGUCUGAUACUGGAUGGCUUGAAUCCGGGAGAGGGAUGCAGAAUUCCAGGUGUAGCGGUGAAAUGCGUAGAUAUCUGGAGGAAUACCGGUGGCGAAGGCGGCAUCCUGGACCGGCAUUGACGCUGAGGAGCGAAAGCCAGGGGAGCAAACGGG